AAAACUUCUGAAUAAAUUUUCACCACUUUGCGCCUGGCAAGUUUACAAGUUGCCUGACCUUUAAUAGUCUGGUUUCUGGAGAGAUGAUGAGUCCUGUGGACCCAAGUGGAAGGAUCCAAAAAGUUAAAGAUAGUGCUAGGGCUGUAAACUCAAGGAGUUGAUAACACCCCACCCCCCAAGGGGAGGAAGCCACAUAGAAGUUGAAGUCCAGCAGAUGGCAGCAAAAUGCAACUGAAGACCAACACAUGGUAGCAGAUAACUAGAGAGAGGAGCUUAGUGGA
rnacentral:lncRNA from 1 species